rnacentral:misc_RNA from 1 species
UGCCUACUUAUGAGGGGAAGGUUUUUACCGUCCAUGGCUUGAAGCAUACUCUAUUGGAUGUUAAGGAAGCUAUCUCUUCUAUUCCAAACUCUGGAGGUGAUCAUUUGAACUUGGAUUUGGCGUCAACAAGUGGUGCUGAACUAUCUUCGAAAGCUUUAUCUGAUCUAAGUGCGGACUAUGAUAAUUACCUCAAGCAUUUGCAGUAUGGGCUCUGGUUUUAUGAACAUGCCUUGAAUAUUCCUGCUCUGACUGUACCUCAAGCACCACCUUCUCCAUAUCACAUGAAGUACUCAUGGGAAGCUGCUCAGCAGCCUUCAUAUAUGAAUACCAAUGGGUUUUCUCAUGGGAGUACAAAUGGUGUUAUCCCAAGUCAAGCAUUUUACCCCAUAAAUCCAAUGUUAAUGCAUGGUAUGCCUUAUGCUGCCUUGGAAGAGAUGCCAAAGCAACGGGGAACUGGGACAUACUUCCCGAAUUUGAAUCAUCCUCCACAUGGUUAUAGGCCAUCAACAGUGAAGGGUAGACAUCAG